rnacentral:rRNA from 1 species
UACGGGGGGGGCAAGCGUUGUUCGGAAUUACUGGGCGUAAAGGGCUCGUAGGCGGCCAACUAAGUCAGACGUGAAAUCCCUCGGCUUAACCGGGGAACUGCGUCUGAUACUGGAUGGCUUGAGUUCGGGAGAGGGAUGCGGAAUUCCAGGUGUAGCGGUGAAAUGCGUAGAUAUCUGGAGGAACACCGGUGGCGAAGGCGGCAUCCUGGACCGGUAUUGACGCUGAGGCGCGAAAGCCAGGGGAGCAAAGCGGG